GACAUGGAACGGUCAAGCUUUGGCACCGGAGCGAGGAUGGAAACUGGCUAUUCGUAGACUCAUAGAAGCGGCGGCGAUUUCAGGCAUAGAGGCUGUACAUUGUAGCAUCGAGACUGAGAGAUGGAACUUGGAAGUAAUUUAUGAGAUAGGGUUCGGAUUGUAACUGAAGAGAUUGGAGAGGAAUUAGGAAUUGAGGAUCAAUUUGAGUUGGAGUGAUUUAGGAUUACUGUUUUUGACUCCUAACUCCUAUCUCUCUGUCUUUCUGAGUCCCCC
rnacentral:lncRNA from 1 species